rnacentral:rRNA from 1 species
CCUACGGGCGGCAGCAGUUAGGAAUAUUGGGCAAUGGAGGAAACUCUGACCCAGCAACGCCGCGUGAAGGAAGAAGGUUUUCGGAUUGUAAACUUCUGAUCUGUGGGAAGAAGACAAUGACGGUACCACAGGAGAAAGCCACGGCUAACUACGUGCUAGCAGCCGCGGUAAUACGUAGGUGGCGAGCGGUGUCCGGAAUAACUGGGCGAAAAGGGUGCGUAGAUGGCAUAGUAAGUCUUUUGUAAAAAUGCUGGGCUAAACCCAGUAGGGCAAAAGAUACUGCAAAGCUAGAGUAUGACAGAGGCAAGUGGAACUACAUGUGUAGCGGUAAAAUGCGUAAAUAUAUGUAAGAACACUAGUGGCGAAGGCGGCUUGCUGGGUCGAUACUGACAUUGAGGCACGAAAGCGUGGGGAGCAAACAGGAUUAGAUACCCGAGUAGUC